rnacentral:rRNA from 1 species
GUGGGGAAUCUUCCACAAUGGACGAAAGUCUGACGGAGCAACGCCGCGUGAGUGAUGAAGGUCUUCGGAUUGUAAAGCUCUGUUAAUCGGGACGAAAGAGCCUAGUGUGAAUAAUGCUAGGAAGUGACGGUACCGGAAUAGAAAGCCACGGCUAACUACGUGCCAGCAGCCGCGGUAAUACGUAGGUGGCAAGCGUUGUCCGGAAUUAUUGGGCGUAAAGCGCGCGCAGGCGGAUCUGCCAGUCUGUCUUAAAAGUUCGGGGCUUAACCCCGUGAUGGGAUGGAAACUACAGAUCUAGAGUAUCGGAGAGGAAAGUGGAAUUCCUAGUGUAGCGGUGAAAUGCGUAGAUAUUAGGAAGAACACCAGUGGCGAAGGCGACUUUCUGGACGAAAACUGACGCUGAGGCGCGAAAGCCAGGGGAGCGAACGGGAUUAGAAACCCUGGUAGUCC